rnacentral:other from 1 species
AUAAACCUGCUGUAUUAGUGAAGUAAGUAGAUAUUGACCCAACACUAUUUUAAAAGGGAAUUUAGCUCUUUUUGUGGAAUGAAACUUUAAUAAAAGUAUUAAAGAACAAGAAGCAAAAAGGUAAUGCCCACCUGUAGAUAACAGGAUCAACUAUUACUUAUUUUGCGGUGCAGUGGGACUUUU